rnacentral:lncRNA from 1 species
CAACAUGCUAGCUGCUAAGGAACUCAUUAAAGAAACCAGUAUCAUUUCUAAUCGCACUAUCACCAUUAUCAAACACCAUGUCGCAAGUUUGAAUGAAAUCAUAAGAGAUAUCAACUCCAUCAUAACUGAAUCAAAUUGAUCAUGCUUCCAUCAUGAAAAGCUUUUUUAUUUAUUAGAUGUCCCAAUUCGAUGUUCUUGUAACACAGGUUAGAACAAGACAACAUAACAGGCUGUUUAAAAAGGAGUAAGGCAAAACACAUCACCCAAUUCAAAUAACAAUUCUAUCUUACAGAGUCUUAGUAAGUGUAAAACCCUCAAUUUGCCCGGGCCCAAAUAACCCCAAAAUUAAAACCCAACCUAAAUCAAGCCCAAACCCCCAGACCCAAUAAUCAAAAUAGGGUUUCAGACAAUCUGAAACCCUAGCCUAUCCUCUGCCCCCUAGCCUGCAGCUACCGCCAUUGUCACCUCACCACUUGCCACUAUUGACCUUUUGAACCUGCAAAAGAAAAUAAAAAGCAGAGACAACAGCCAAAGCAAGUGGAACAAUAGGAAUAGAGAGAAAAUCAAAUGUAAUACAUUUUUUUUCGACUAUAAAAGGCCAAGAUCUAUCAGUGUAAAAGGGGAUGGUAUUUUCGAAAGGGGAGGAACCGAUUGUAUCUUGGGAAAUGGGGGAAGUUUUUUAAAAAUUGUAACACAGAUUAAAGAAUCAAAAAAGCAAAAACAGAAGAGAGGUGGAUUUUCGAAUCUCGUUUUCUCCUUUUUUUCGUUUCGAUCAUUUUUUAUUUAUUUAUCUAUUUUUUUAUCGAUUUUAAAAAAGAAUAAAAAGAAGAAAGAGGGAACUUACCGGGGUUUCCGUGAAUGCCUCGCCGGAGAUCCUCCCUCCGCCGUCGAGUUCGAACCUGAGGAAGGUGGGGAGGUGUCUUCCUAUCUCGAUUUUUCAGACUUUGAAGGUUUGGCCUUCAAACGUGGCUCAAUCAAGGGCUGAAAAGCCUGUUUGUUGCUGUCACAACCACCGUCCACGGUGGAGGAAUGAAAGGCGAUGGCGGCGCAAAAGCUAGUGUUUCGAAACCCUAGCAGAGAAGAAAGGGGAGCCCUUUCUGUUUUUUUUGUUUGUUUGAAGCAGCAGAAUGAUCUUGAAACAAAAAAAAAUGGGGCUUUAUACAGGCACAAAACGGUGCCGUUUGGAGACCAACCUCACAGCGCCAAAACGGCGCCGUAUUGGCUGACCCGUUUUGACCCGACCCGAUUGCCCCUGGGAUACGCGUGUUUCUGUGGUGAGGGGCUAAUUACACACUUGGUCCUUCUCCUUUCGCUCUAGCUUUCAACUGGUUCCUGUUUGCGUGUUGUUUAUUUUCAAUUUUUUCCCAAAAUCUGUAUACUAUUGCAAUUUAGUCCGCAUCUCAACGUCAUGUUUUAGGACUUGGAUUAUUCCCUGUUUUAGUCCUUAUACAUUUGGGCGCAUUACAUAUGGGUCCUUUUUCAUUUAUUUUAUUUGUAGAUUAUCCCUUUUGUUUUAAUUUAAUUUUAAUUAAGUUUUUACUUCAUUUUUAUUUCAUAGUCAUUCUUUAUUCUUGAUUACUUAUUUGUAUAUAUUAAACUACCUUG